rnacentral:tRNA from 1 species
GGGCCAGUGGCGGAAUUGGUAUACGCGUUUGACUUAAAAUCAAAUGCCCAAAAGGCAUGUGGGUUCGAGUCCCACCUGGCCCA